rnacentral:rRNA from 1 species
UACGUAGGGUGCAAGCGUUAAUCGGAAUUACUGGGCGUAAAGCGUGCGCAGGCGGUUUUGCAAGACAGAUGUGAAAUCCCCGGGCUCAACCUGGGAACUGCAUUUGUGACUGCAAGGCUAGAAUCUGGCAGAGGGGGGUAGAAUUCCACGUGUAGCAGUGAAAUGCGUAGAUAUGUGGAGGAAUACCGAUGGCGAAGGCAGCCCCCUGGGCUAAGAUUGACGCUCACGCACGAAAGCGUGGGGAGCAAACAGG